rnacentral:rRNA from 1 species
GACGAACGCUGGCGGCGUGCUUAACACAUGCAAGUCGAGCGGUAAGGCCCUUUCGGGGGUACACGAGCGGCGAACGGGUGAGUAACACGUGGGUGACCUGCCCUCAGCUCUGGGAUAAGCCUGGGAAACUGGGUCUAAUACCGGAUAUGACUCCAUGACGCAUGUUGUGGGGUGGAAAGCCUUGUGCGGCUGAGGAUGGGCCCGCGGCCUAUCAGCUUGUUGGNGGGUGAUGGCCUACCAAGGCGACGACGGGUAGCCGGCCUGAGAGGGCGACCGGCCACACUGGGACUGAGACACGGCCCAGACUCCUACGGGAGGCAGCAGUGAGGAAUCUUGCGCAAUGGGCGAAAGCCUGACGCAGCGACGCCGCGUGAGGGAUGACGGCCUGG